AUUGAACGCUGGCGGCAGGCCUAACACAUGCAAGUCGAACGAGUGGCGGACGGGUGAGUAAUGUCUGGGAAACUGCCUGAUGGAGGGGGAUAACUACUGGAACCGGUAGCUAAUACCGCAUACCAUCAGAUGUGCCCAGAUGGGAUUAGCUUGUUGGUGGGGUAACGGCUCCCCAAGGCGACGAUCCCUAGGUGGUCUGAGAGGAUGACCAGCCACACCGGAACUGAGACACGGGCCAGACUGCUACGUGAGGCAGCAGUGGGGAAUAUUGCACAAUGGGCGCAAGGCUGAUGCAGCCAAUCCGCGUGUAUGGAGAAGGCCUUCGGGGUGUAAAGGACGUUCAGCGGGGAGGCGUUACCCGCAGAAGAAGCACCGGCUAACUCCGUGCCAGCAGCCGCGGUAAUUC
rnacentral:rRNA from 1 species